CCCUUAGAUGUCCGGGGCUGCACGCGCGCUACACUGAAUGAAUCAGCGUGCUAGAAAACCUUGUUUGACAUGGCUAGGUAACCCAUUGAAAAUCAUUCGUGAUUGGGAUCGGGACUUGCAAAUGUGUCCCUUGAACGAGGAAUUCCCAGUAAGUGCGGGUCAUCAGCUCGCGUUGAUUACGUCCCUGCCCUUUGUACACACCGCCCGUCGCUCCUACCGAUUGGGUGUGCUGGUGAAAUGUUCGGAUCGGCCGUUUGUCGCGGUUUCCGCGUCAUGUGGCUGAGAAGUUCAUUAAACCCUCCCACCUAGAGGAAGGAGAAGUCGUAACA
rnacentral:rRNA from 1 species